UUGAUCGCAAAUAAAUAGGAACAAAGACCCAGCCAAGCAAUAACAAUACCCAUACUGCCUGCAAAUGAAGAAAAGUUUCUGAUUUAGAGGUAUGGCACAGGAAGCCCACRAGUAAAGCGCAAAUCCAUUACCGAUCGAUCUUACCUGCCAUUCAUACGAAACGACUGCAAUCCCAGUAGCAGCACCAGAUCCCGCUAGGCCAAUGAAGUGUUCACUUCCCAUGUUACUUGCGAAAAGACUGGGCCCAACCUAGAAAGGCCCUUAUAGGACUUAUAGGUGAUGAAGUAGCACAGGGGUCCCAACACUGACAUGMAUAGCGACAAUGCAAGUCUGUGGCUCACAUUGUWYCAACACAGCCGAGGAAUGGAAACAAUUUUGAUGAUGAGGAUGUGACUAAGAUCAUGAUGACGACAAAGUCUUCACCAAAAGUAAUUACCACAAGAAGUAAAGAGUACGGCAAAUAUGAGAGYAUWAGAGCCACGAAAACCAUGAACAUGGUGUGAAAAGACCUGCYAUAAGCUGCAAUAUUAAAUGAUGAGGUCUGAUUCGGGGAAAUUGUAGACCUCAAUUUCCUCAAGGUAUAGAAGGCCAACGAGUAACUUGCCGUUACAAAAGAGAUUAAAACAAAUCCACCSAUACCAAAAAGCAAGCGAACUGAUGUGGGAGUGAAAAUAUUGAACGAWUUAUUCAGGAUCUGKACCAAAGUGACGSUMYUCCAAAUGAGUAAAAGUGAAUGUACAACKCUUCUCGUGGUAACAACAUGMCGAUAUUUGAUUUUAAGUCUGAUAGCAAGCAAUCGAUCAACACUUAUYAGUACUACAGUACAUAGAGACACCACGCUCAAGAUAGCAUUGGAGGUUCUUCCAACGCUUAGCAGUGUUAAAUAAGUA